rnacentral:rRNA from 1 species
GACGUAGGGCGCGAGCGUUGUCCGGAUUUAUUGGGCGUAAAGAGCUCGUAGGCGGUUUGUCGCGUCUGCUGUGAAAACUCAGGGCUUAACCCUGAGCCUGCAGUGGGUACGGGCAGACUAGAGUGUGGUAGGGGAGAUCGGAAUUCCUGGUGUAGCGGUGGAAUGCGCAGAUAUCAGGAGGAACACCGGUGGCGAAGGCGGAUCUCUGGGCCAUAACUGACGCUGAGGAGCGAAAGCAUGGGGAGCGAACAGG